CUACCUGAUGGAAGCGGUGGUUCACUGAGGGGAAGCCCUGCCCAGUACGAGAGGAACAGCGGGGCGUUGCCUCUGGCGUACCGGUCGUCCGAGAGGGCGUCGCCGGGCAGCUAAGCAAUUGUGGAUAACCGCUGAAAGCAUCUAAGCGGGAAGCCACUCCCGAGAAGAGUGAGCCUUUCGUCUUAACCCCCGGCGCAAGCUGGGGGAGCGGAUGGAGGAGGGGGGCGAUAGAAGAUCGCGUUGAAGGAUCAGCCGUGUACGCUAGAAGUUCGCAAGAACGACUAGUUCAGCGGGUCUGACACCUAUACCCCAACGCAGGAUGAGG
rnacentral:rRNA from 1 species